rnacentral:rRNA from 1 species
GACGAACGCUGGUGGCGUGCCUAAUACAUGCAAGUCGAGCGGACUUAAAAAGCUUGCUUUUUAAGUUAGCGGCGGACGGGUGAGUAACACGUGGGCAACCUGCCUGUAAGACUGGGAUAACUUCGGGAAACCGGAGCUAAUACCGGAUAAUCCUUUUCUACUCAUGUAGAAAAGCUGAAAGACGGUUUACGCUGUCACUUACAGAUGGGCCCGCGGCGCAUUAGCUAGUUGGUGAGGUAACGGCUCACCAAGGCGACGAUGCGUAGCCGACCUGAGAGGGUGAUCGGCCACACUGGGACUGAGACACGGCCCAGACUCCUACGGGAGGCAGCAGUAGGGAAUCUUCCGCAAUGGACGAAAGUCUGACGGAGCAACGCCGCGUGAGUGAUGAAGGUUUUCGGAUCGUAAAACUCUGUUGUUAGGGAAGAACAAGUACGAGAGUAACUGCUCGUACCUUGACGGUACCUAACCAGAAAGCCACGGCUAACUACGUG